rnacentral:rRNA from 1 species
ACUAAGCGUACACGGUGGAUGCCCUGGCAGUCAGAGGCGAUGAAGGGCGUGCUAAUCUGCGAUAAGCGCCGGUAAGGUGAUAUGAACCGUUAUAACCGGCGAUACCCGAAUGGGGAAACCCAGUGUGAUUCGUCACACUAUCAUUAACUGAAUCCAUAGGUUAAUGAGGCGAACCGGGGGAACUGAAACAUCUAAGUACCCCGAGGAAAAGAAAUCAACCGAGAUUCCCCCAGUAGCGGCGAGCGAACGGGGAGGAGCCCAGAGCCUGAAUCAGCAUGUGUGUUAGUGGAAGCGUCUGGAAAGGCGCGCGAUACAGGGUGACAGCCCCGUACACAAAAGCGCAUGUGCUGUGAGCUCGAUGAGUAGGGCGGGACACGUGGUAUCCUGUCUGAAUAUGGGGGGACCAUCCUCCAAGGCUAAAUACUCCUGACUGACCGAUAGUGAACCAGUACCGUGAGGGAAAGGCGAAAAGAACCCCGGCGAGGGGAGUGAAAAAGAACCUGAAACCGUGUACGUACAAGCAGUGGGAGCCCCACCACCAAAGCAUUCUCUGGUGUUGAAGGCCCUGCAAAGCAGCAUCGCGGUGGCGGAGCGUCGUUUGCGACGCCCAACACACAAAACAAGCGGUGAAUGCUUUGGGGUGGGGUGACUGCGUACCUUUUGUAUAAUGGGUCAGCGACUUAUAUUCUGUAGCAAGGUUAACCGAAUAGGGGAGCCGGAGGGAAACCGAGUCUUAAUUGGGCGUUAAGUUGCAGGGUAUAGACCCGAAACCCGGUGAUCUAGCCAUGGGCAGGUUGAAGGUUGGGUAACACUAACUGGAGGACCGAACCGACUAAUGUUGAAAAAUUAGCGGAUGACCUGUGGCUGGGGGUGAAAGGCCAAUCAAACCGGGAGAUAGCUGGUUCUCCCCGAAAGCUAUUUAGGUAGCGCCUCGUGAAUUCAUCUCCGGGGGUAGAGCACUGUUUCGGCUAGGGGGCCAUCCCGGCUUACCAACCCGAUGCAAACUGCGAAUACCGGAGAAUGUUAUCACGGGAGACACACGGCGGGUGCUAACGUCCGUCGUGAAGAGGGAAACAACCCAGACCGCCAGCUAAGGUCCCAAAGUCAUGGUUAAGUGGGAAACGAUGUGGGAAGGCCCAGACAGCCAGGAUGUUGGCUUAGAAGCAGCCAUCAUUUAAAGAAAGCGUAAUAGCUCACUGGUCGAGUCGGCCUGCGCGGAAGAUGUAACGGGGCUAAACCAUGCACCGAAGCUGCGGCAGCGAACGUAUCACCCAAGACAACUUUACGGAGUUGACGAUUGACGGAGCGAAGCGACGUCAAAGCGUUCAUUAAAGUCGAGUUGGCUUAGGGAUACGUUCGUUGGGUAGGGGAGCGUUCUGUAAGCCUGUGAAGGUGUGUCGUGAGGCAUGCUGGAGGUAUCAGAAGUGCGAAUGCUGACAUAAGUAACGAUAAAGCGGGUGAAAAGCCCGCUCGCCGGAAGACCAAGGGUUCCUGUCCAACGUUAAUCGGGGCAGGGUGAGUCGACCCCUAAGGCGAGGCCGAAAGGCGUAGUCGAUGGGAAACGGGUUAAUAUUCCCGUACUUGGUGUUACUGCGAAGGGGGGACGGAGAAGGCUAUGUUGGCCGGGCGACGGUUGUCCCGGUUUAAGCGUGUAGGUGUGUGUUCCAGGUAAAUCCGGUUCACUUUAACACUGAGGCGUGACGACGAGGCACUACGGUGCUGAAGCAACAAAUGCCCUGCUUCCAGGAAAAGCCUCUAAGCAUCAGGUAACAUCAAAUCGUACCCCAAACCGACACAGGUGGUCAGGUAGAGAAUACCAAGGCGCUUGAGAGAACUCGGGUGAAGGAACUAGGCAAAAUGGUGCCGUAACUUCGGGAGAAGGCACGCUGACACGUAGGUGAAGUGAUUUACUCAUGGAGCUGAAGUCAGUCGAAGAUACCAGCUGGCUGCAACUGUUUAUUAAAAACACAGCACUGUGCAAACACGAAAGUGGACGUAUACGGUGUGACGCCUGCCCGGUGCCGGAAGGUUAAUUGAUGGGGUCAGCGCAAGCGAAGCUCCUGAUCGAAGCCCCGGUAAACGGCGGCCGUAACUAUAACGGUCCUAAGGUAGCGAAAUUCCUUGUCGGGUAAGUUCCGACCUGCACGAAUGGCGUAAUGAUGGCCAGGCUGUCUCCACCCGAGACUCAGUGAAAUUGAACUCGCUGUGAAGAUGCAGUGUACCCGCGGCAAGACGGAAAGACCCCGUGAACCUUUACUAUAGCUUGACACUGAACAUUGAGCCUUGAUGUGUAGGAUAGGUGGGAGGCUUUGAAGUGUGGACGCCAGUCUGCAUGGAGCCGACCUUGAAAUACCACCCUUUAAUGUUUGAUGUUCUAACGUGGACCCGUAAUCCGGGUUGCGGACAGUGUCUGGUGGGUAGUUUGACUGGGGCGGUCUCCUCCUAAAGAGUAACGGAGGAGCACGAAGGUUGGCUAAUCCUGGUCGGACAUCAGGAGGUUAGUGCAAUGGCAUAAGCCAGCUUGACUGCGAGCGUGACGGCGCGAGCAGGUGCGAAAGCAGGUCAUAGUGAUCCGGUGGUUCUGAAUGGAAGGGCCAUCGCUCAACGGAUAAAAGGUACUCCGGGGAUAACAGGCUGAUACCGCCCAAGAGUUCAUAUCGACGGCGGUGUUUGGCACCUCGAUGUCGGCUCAUCACAUCCUGGGGCUGAAGUAGGUCCCAAGGGUAUGGCUGUUCGCCAUUUAAAGUGGUACGCGAGCUGGGUUUAGAACGUCGUGAGACAGUUCGGUCCCUAUCUGCCGUGGGCGCUGGAGAACUGAGGGGGGCUGCUCCUAGUACGAGAGGACCGGAGUGGACGCAUCACUGGUGUUCGGGUUGUCAUGCCAAUGGCACUGCCCGGUAGCUAAAUGCGGAAGAGAUAAGUGCUGAAAGCAUCUAAGCACGAAACUUGCCCCGAGAUGAGUUCUCCCUGAGACUUAGAGUCUCCUGAAGGAACGUUGAAGACGACGACGUUGAUAGGCCGGGUGUGUAAGCGCAGCGAUGCGUUGAGCUAACCGGUACUAAUGAACCGUGAGGCUUAACC